AUGGCUCAGACGAACGCUGGUGGCGUGUCCUAUACAUGCAAGUCGAGCGGGGCAGCAAUGCCCAGCGGCGAACGGGUGAGUAACGCGUAAGCAAUCUGCCCCAUAUCAGGAAAUACCCGUGCCAACGCGCGGUUAAUGUCCAGGAGCGUGGCCUUCCGCAUGGGAGGUUGACAAGAGAUUUAUCGGUAUGGGAUGAGCUUGCGUCCGAUUAGCUAGUUGGCGGGGCAACGGCCCACCAAGGCGACGAUCGGUAGCCGGCCUGAGAGGGUGAUCGGCCACAUUGGGACUGAGAUACGGCCCAGACUCCUACGGGAGGCAGCAGUAGGGAAUAUUGCACAAUGGGGGAAACCCUGAUGCAGCAACGCCACGUGUGGGAAGAAGCAUUUCGGUGUGUAAACCACUGUCGUGAGGGAAUAAGGCGUCUUCUCGGAGACGUUGAAUGUACCUCGAAAGGAAGCACCGGCAAACUUCGUGCCAGCAGCAGC
rnacentral:rRNA from 1 species